GCGGGGGUGGCGUAACUGGCAGACGCAUCAGGCUUAAGUCCUGAUAUCGUGAGGUGUAGGGGUUCGAGUCCCCUUCCCCGCACCA
rnacentral:tRNA from 1 species